GACGAACGCUGGCGGCGUGCCUAAUACAUGCAAGUCGAGCGAACGGACGAGAAGCUUGCUUCUCUGAUGUUAGCGGCGGACGGGUGAGUAACACGUGGAUAACCUACCUAUAAGACUGGGAUAACUUCGGGAAACCGGAGCUAAUACCGGAUAAUAUUUUGAACCGCAUGGUUCAAAAGUAAAAGACGGUCUUGCUGUCACUUAUAGAUGGAUCCGCGCUGCAUUAGCUAGUUGGUAAGGUAACGGCUUACCAAGGCAACGAUGCAUAGCCGACCUGAGAGGGUGAUCGGCCACACUGGAACUGAGACACGGUCCAGACUCCUACGGGAGGCAGCAGUAGGGAAUCUUCCGCAAUGGGCGAAAGCCUGACGGAGCAACGCCGCGUGAGUGAUGAAGGUCUUCGGAUCGUAAAACUCUGUUAUUAGGGAAGAACAUAUGUGUAAGUAACUGUGCACAUCUUGACGGUACCUAAUCAGAAAGCCACGGCUAACUACGUGCCAGCAGCCGCGGUAAUACGUAGGUGGCAAGCGUUAUCCGGAAUUAUUGGGCGUAAAGCGCGCGUAGGCGGUUUUUUAAGUCUGAUGUGAAAGCCCACGGCUCAACCGUGGAGGGUCAUUGGAAACUGGAAAACUUGAGUGCAGAAGAGGAAAGUGGAAUUCCAUGUGUAGCGGUGAAAUGCGCAGAGAUAUGGAGGAACACCAGUGGCGAAGGCGACUUUCUGGUCUGUAACUGACGCUGAUGUGCGAAAGCGUGGGGAUCAAACAGG
rnacentral:rRNA from 1 species